UGGAGUACCUAACGCCGAGAUCCUGGAGC
rnacentral:piRNA from 1 species